rnacentral:rRNA from 1 species
GACGAACGCUGGCGGCGUGCUUAACACAUGCAAGUCGAACGGAAAGGCCCUUCGGGGUACUCGAGUGGCGAACGGGUGAGUAACACGUGGGUGAUCUGCCCUGCACUUUGGGAUAAGCCUGGGAAACUGGGUCUAAUACCGAAUAGGACCACGCGCUUCAUGGUGUGUGGUGGAAAGCUUUUGCGGUGUGGGAUGGGCCCGCGGCCUAUCAGCUUGUUGGUGGGGUAAUGGCCUACCAAGGCGACGACGGGUAGCCGGCCUGAGAGGGUGACCGGCCACACUGGGACUGAGAUACGGCCCAGACUCCUACGGGAGGCAGCAGUGGGGAAUAUUGCACAAUGGGCGCAAGCCUGAUGCAGCGACGCCGCGUGAGGGAUGACGGCAUUCGGGUUGUAAACCUCUUUCAAUAGGGACGAAGCGCAAGUGACGGUACCUAUAGAAGAAGCACCGGCCAACUACGUG